rnacentral:rRNA from 1 species
GGGAGGCAGCAGUGGGGAAUAUUGGACAAUGGGCGCAAGCCUGAUCCAGCCAUACCGCGUGGGUGAAGAAGGCCUUCGGGUUGUAAAGCCCUUUUGUUGGGAAAGAAAUCCUAUCGAUUAAUACUCGGUGGGGAUGACGGUACCCAAAGAAUAAGCACCGGCUAACUUCGUGCCAGCAGCCGCGGUAAUACGAAGGGUGCAAGCGUUACUCGGAAUUACUGGGCGUAAAGCGUGCGUAGGUGGUGGUUUAAGUCUGUCGUGAAAGCCCUGGGCUCAACCUGGGAAUUGCGAUGGAUACUGGAUCACUAGAGUGUGGUAGAGGGAUGCGGAAUUUCCGGUGUAGCAGUGAAAUGCGUAGAGAUCGGAAGGAACAUCUGUGGCGAAGGCGGCAUCCUGGGCCAACACUGACACUGAGGCACGAAAGCGUGGGGAGCAAACAGGAUUAGAUACCCUGGUAGUCCACGCCCUAAACGAUGCGAACUGGAUGUUGGGUGCAACUUGGCACCCAGUAUCGAAGCUAACGCGUUAAGUUCGCCGCCUGGGGAGUACGGUCGCAAGACUGAAACUCAAAGGAAUU